rnacentral:rRNA from 1 species
AUACGAAGGGUGCAAGCGUUAAUCGGAAUUACUGGGCGUAAAGCGCGCGUAGGUGGUUCGUUAAGUUGGAUGUGAAAGCCCCGGGCUCAACCUGGGAACUGCAUCCAAAACUGGCGAGCUAGAGUAUAGCAGAGGGUGGUGGAAUUUCCUGUGUAGCGGUGAAAUGCGUAGAUAUAGGAAGGAACACCAGUGGCGAAGGCGACCACCGGGGCUAAUACGGGCACUGAGGUGCGAAAGCGGGGGGAGCAAACAGGAUUAGAUCCCCUGGUAGUCCACGCCGUAAACGAUGUCGACUAGCCGUUGGGAUCCUUGAGAUCUUAGUGGCGCAGCUAACGCAUUAAGUCGACCGCCUGGGGAGUACGGCCGCAAGGUUAAAACUCAAAUGAAUUGACGGGG